rnacentral:ncRNA from 2 species
CUUCACUCGCGUGACUGGCGCAUAUAGAUAGAACACUAUCGGGGAGCGUGAGUUUGCUGCCGCCGCGCGCCUGGGCAUUACCU